CACUUCCUCUUCGCUUCGUCUGCUGUUGUACGAGCAUCCUGGCUAGCGAAUGAGCUGAAUAAGGGAUCAAAUACGAUUGCCAAGACUCAUGACCUCCAGAGAUGAGACCUCUGAAGAGACCCAGACAAGGAUGUCAAUUGGUAUUCUACAUGAAAUGGUGUCAUGAUGAACCAUCUCUACCUUAAUUCCCAGAUAGAGUCUGGCCCCAGCCCAUAGGAUCAAUUUGAAGAUCCCCAAGAUGCCUGACCUCCUGCAGAGAAGAGGAUUCUGUAGAGAUCCAGGCGAAGGGAUGGCACUUUCCUUAAAAAGGACCUCCAAGACGCGUAACCUCCUGCAGAGAUGAGGAUCCUGACGACGCGAUGGCAAUUUACGCAUGAUGGUGUCAUGAUGAACCAUCUCUACCUGGACACCCAGAUGGGAGCCUGACCCCGGUCCAUAGAAUCAAUCUCAAGACCUCCAAGACGCGUAACCUCCUGCAGAGAUGAGGAUCCUGACGACGCGAUGGCAAUUUACGCAUGAUGUUGUCAUGAUGAACCAUCUCUACCUGGACACCCAGAUGGGAGCCUGACCCCGGUCCAUAGAAUCAAUCUCAAGACCUCCAAGACAAGUAACCUCCUGCAGAGAUGAGGAUCCUGACGACGCGAUGGCAAUUUACGCAUGAUGGUGUCAUGAUGAACCAUCUCUACCUGGACACCCAGAUGGGAGCCUGACCCCGGUCCAUAGAAUCAAUCUCAAGACCUCCAAGACACCCGACCCCCUGCAGAGAAGAGGAUUCUGAAGGGAUGGGAAUUUCAGCCUUUAGCUUAAAAAAGUAAUAUUUUGGGACUCACUUGGAGAGCUAUUGGGCUUUGAUCUAUAACAGUGAUGAGAUUUUACUUCGGUCCGUGUUGUUGAUACUUUGUGAGAAUAACAGAAGUUCCGAGUUUACCAAACUCGUUUUUCGUUUUUGUGUCGGUGCCUGGAAAAUCUAACUUGAAUUUGUUUUAUCAAGCCAGUGAUGAGAUCAAGAUUCCAGCAGUGGGAAUGAAGACCCAGAAAGAAUAUAAAAAUGUAAGCAUUAAUCAGGUUCUGUCAAAUGAAGAUACUUGGCCUUCCAAAAUUGGCAGUAACAUUUUGGAUUUGGAUAGUUAUAAUUAAGCUGCACUUGAUUUACUUGGGUCCAUGUUGUUGAAACUCAUUAGAAAUGUUCAGUUCAGUACUUUGACUUCAGUCCUUAAAAGUACUGCUGCAAAUGGCUAUUGCUGUAUGUAUUGUGUAGGAGUUUGCAUGUUAUGAUGGGACAUCAUUUGUAUUUCGGGAGAAAGCUGAUGUUACAGAAGCCUCUACCCUGAAUGCUGGCUGAAAACCCUGGUCACCUGCUUAUACAAUGUUCUGUUUAACUUUUUUCCCUUGAUUAAAGUACAAACGAUUUAAAAUG